UACAGAGGUCUCGAGCGUUUGUUCGGAUUCAUUGGGCGUAAAGGGUGCGUAGGUGGUCUGGUAAGUCGGAUGUGAAAUCCGGACGCUUAACUUCGGAACUGCAUUCGAUACUGCCGGACUGGAGUACUGGAGAGGAGAUCGGAAUUUACGGUGUAGCAGUGAAAUGCGUAGAUAUCGUAAGGAAGACCAGUGGCGAAGGCGGAUCGUCUGGACAGUUACUGACACUGAGGCACGGAAGGCCAGGGGAGACAAACGGG
rnacentral:rRNA from 1 species